rnacentral:rRNA from 1 species
AAUUGGAGGGCAAGUCUGGUGCCAGCAGCCGCGGUAAUUCCAGCUCCAAUAGCGUAUAUUAAAGUUGUUGCAGUUAAAAAGCUCGUAGUUGAAUUUCGGGAUUGACGUGAUGGUCGUGCCUUAAGGGGUAUGAACUGUCGCAGUUGAUUUCUCACCUUCUGGAGAAGCAUGAUGUCCUUAAUUGGGUGUCAUGUGGAACCAGGACCUUUACCUUGAAAAAAUUAGAGUGUUUAAAGCAGGCAUUUUGCUCGAAUACAUUAGCAUGGAAUAAUAGAAUAGGACGGCAUGGUUCUAUUUUGUUGGUUUCUAGGAUCACCGUAAUGAUUAAUAGGGAUAGUUGGGGGCAUUAGUAUUCAAUUGUCAGAGGUGAAAUUCUUGGAUUUAUUGAAGACUAACUACUGCGAAAGCAUUUGCCAAGGAUGUUUUCAUUAAUCAAGAACGAAAGUUAGGGGAUCGAAGACGAUCAGAUACCGUCGUAGUCUUAACCAUAAACUAUGCCGACUAGGAAUCAGACGAUGUUAAUUUUUUAAUGACUCAUUUGGCACCUUACGGGAAACCAAAGUGU